UUGGUUUACAUGCAUUGAAUAAGAACAGUAAAAUUAAAAGUUUCCUAUCGCUAAGUAGAGCAACAUUGAUUUUUCAACAAUGAUGAUAUAAAUAGCCUACGCGGAAAGAUGAAUCACAAACUGUAUAAAAUAGCUCACGAAAAGAGUAGCCCCCAUAACCGACUAUUAGGCUAAAAGCGAACGGAAUAAAUUAUUUUUGCGCGUUAAUCGAAACUUCCUCUGGAAUGCAUCAGAAGUGUUAUUGAUAACACCGAGGUGAAAAUACCAGACAAAAUCACUAUCGCGAACGCCACGGUCUCUGAAGAGAGCAUAAUACCACCAACAAAUCAGAAUGAGUUCGGGCAGUAGCUGGGGUAACAAUGGCUGGUCAAGUAACAUUUCCAAGGGCGGCAACAACCCAGACCCCGAGGGGCAGCACAACCCCUCCUGUAUCGCCGGAAGUAGUGGUUGGGGCCGGAACGGCUGGGGAAGCAGCUACUACGAUGAGAGCUGUUCAGGGUGUCGCCACGAUAGGUCUGCGGGCUCGUUCGGAAACAACAACAAGGCGAAAGGAGUGAUUAAGUUGCUGGCAGUCGUCGGCGUAGCUAAGCUAGCCAAGAAAAGUCUCUGGGACUAGUUGCUGCUCUGUGUCGCUGACGCGAGCUAUGAGGCCGGGACAUAUGACAUCGCCAGUUAACGGAAAUAUAUGCAUAUAUAUGUGUGAGAAAAUAAACGAUUCCGAAUAACAAGGGGUUUUACAUUGCAAUGGAAGAAAAGGUGUUUUUCAGAAAAAUGAGUGAAAUGCUCCAUGGUGUCAAUUGAUAUAUGCAAUAACGAGAUAGUGCCAAACUUUUACGAAGUCCAUACUACUUUGUAUAUAGCUAACUGUAAGUAGUAUUAAUGUGUGUUUAUUUUCUUUUUAUAUAGAAUCUCAUAUAUGUAUUAUACAGAAUGUCUAUAAAUUAGGGAUGCAAACGAAUGGCAAAAUUGAUAUUCGAAUAUUCGGUAAUUCUUUCGAUCGAAUAUUCGAUAACCAAAAUACUGUUUUUAGAAGUUGAAGAAAACUAUUAUUAUCAUUCGCUUAAAUGAUUGCCGGGGGCAUUGUAACCCUACAUUGUCGUAGUCAAUAUGCGCGGCGGACCCUGAUUUCCCCCCAAAUGAGCCUCUGAAAUUCCCCAUUUUCAUAAAGAAAAAAAGCAAUACAGAACGAACAAAUAACGAAAUUAAAUACAUGUUAUUUCAUUUCCGUUGCCUUCAUAUUUGUAAACAAUGUGAAAUAAGAUGGAUUCAUGGUCAAAUGGCGUUAUGCGCCAAUGGACGGUCUUUCGGUGGGACGUCAGCAGCCUCAUUCUGGGAUUGACCUGUACUAAAUAUAAUUAUGGAAUAACUAAACCAACUCGGGAACUAAUAAAAUAAUAAAACGAAAGCAAAGUGGAUUUUGGCUCUUCUAUUGUACAUCAAUAGAGGAAAAAUAUCCUUUAACGCCAUACUAUACAUUUAUUUUUCAAAGCACGAGCGUUGUGUCGAAUGUGUUUUCGUCACAUUCACACAUCCGGCAUUAUGGGCCAGUCGCUGUAAACAAACAAGAUAAACGAACUUUAUACACAACAAGAAGGUUGGAGGCAAAUGGUUUUUAUUCUAUUUAUCCAACCGAUUUUGACAUUCGAAUACCGAACGUUAGAUCGAAUAUUCGAAUAUUCGUUUGCAUCCCUACUAUAAAUAUAUGACCGAUAUUUUGUGUAAUUAGCAUGUUAUCUGUAUCCCUUAUAUGCAUUUGCAUGUGUAUUAAUAAAGUAGAAACUGUU